rnacentral:rRNA from 1 species
UACGUAGGGUGCAAGCGUUGUCCGGAAUUAUUGGGCGUAAAGAGCUCGUAGGCGGUCUGUCGCGUCUGCUGUGAAAACUCGGGGCUUAACCCCGGGCCUGCAGUGGGUACGGGCAGACUAGAGUGCGGUAGGGGAGACUGGAAUUCCUGGUGUAGCGGUGAAAUGCGCAGAUAUCAGGAGGAACACCGGUGGCGAAGGCGGGUCUCUGGGCCGAUACUGACGCUGAGGAGCGAAGGCCAGGGGAGCAAACGGG